rnacentral:rRNA from 1 species
UUAAAAGGUAAAUAAAUUUAUUUGAGUAGUAUUAGUUAUAAUCUUGAAACUAAAAAAAUUUGGCGGUAUUUUAGUCUAUUCAGAGGAACUUGUUUUUUAAUCGAUAAUCCACGAUGUACCUUACUUAAAAUUGUUAAUCAAUCUAUAUAUCGUUGUUAUUAGAAUAUUUUAUAAGAAUAAUAAUUUUCUAUAAUUUAUAUUAAAAUUAAUAUCAAAUCAAGGUGUAGUUUAUUUUUAAGUAUAAAUGAGUUACAAUAAAAUAUAUUUGUGAAUUUAAAUAUGAAAAAUUUAAUGAAAUUGGAUUUGAUAGUAAAAUUAUAAAGAUUAAUAAUUUGAUUUUAGCUCUAAAAUAUGU